UUGAUUCUGUAGUCCUAAAAUUUAAUUAUUUAAUCUAUAUUCAUACUAAUAUCCAUACUUUCAAUAUCCGAUUUGUAUUCAUAUUGUUGGGGGUGAUUUUGUACUAGCCGAAUAUAUGGACAAGUGGAAGAUCUAAACAAGAUCAGACCUUGCUAAUCCCACCUUCCCAUCAAAACCACCUUGAGUGGUACUAUCAGCCUCU
rnacentral:lncRNA from 1 species